rnacentral:rRNA from 1 species
GAGUAACCUGCCCUUGACUCUGGGAUAAGCCUGGGAAACUGGGUCUAAUACCGGAUAUGACUCCUCAUCGCAUGGUGGGGGGUGGAAAGCUUUUGUGGUUUUGGAUGGACUCGCGGCCUAUCAGCUUGUUGGUGGGGUAAUGGCCUACCAAGGCGACGACGGGUAGCCGGCCUGAGAGGGUGACCGGCCACACUGGGACUGAGACACGGCCCAGACUCCUACGGGAGGCAGCAGUGGGGAAUAUUGCACAAUGGGCGCAAGCCUGAUGCAGCGACGCCGCGUGAGGGAUGACGGCCUUCGGGUUGUAAACCUCUUUCAGUAGGGAAGAAGCGUAAGUGACGGUACCUGCAGAAGAAGCGCCGGCUAACUACGUGCCAGCAGCCGCGGUAAUACGUAGGGCGCAAGCGUUAUCCGGAAUUAUUGGGCGUAAAGAGCUCGUAGGCGGUUUGUCGCGUCUGCUGUGAAAGACCGGGGCUCAACUCCGGUUCUGCAGUGGGUACGGGCAGACUAGAGUGCAGUAGGGGAGACUGGAAUUCCUGGUGUAGCGGUGAAAUGCGCAGAUAUCAGGAGGAACACCGAUGGCGAAGGCAGGUCUCUGGGCUGUAACUGACGCUGAGGAGCGAAAGCAUGGGGAGCGAACAGGAUUAGAUACCCUGGUAGUCCAUGCCGUAAACGUUGGGCACUAGGUGUGGGGGACAUUCCACGUUUUCCGCGCCGUAGCUAACGCAUUAAGUGCCCCGCCUGGGGAGUACGGCCGCAAGGCUAAAACUCAAAGGAAUUGACGGGGGCCCGCACAAGCGGCGGAGCAUGCGGAUUAAUUCGAUGCAACGCGAAGAACCUUACCAAGGCUUGACAUGAACCGGAAAGACCUGGAAACAGGUGCCCCGCUUGCGGUCGGUUUACAGGUGGUGCAUGGUUGUCGUCAGCUCGUGUCGUGAGAUGUUGGGUUAAGUCCCGCAACGAGCGCAACCCUCGUUCUAUGUUGCCAGCGGUUCGGCCG